rnacentral:rRNA from 1 species
GAUGAACGCUGGCGGCGUGCCUAAUACAUGCAAGUCGAGCGGAAAGGCCUCUUCGGAGGUACUCGAGCGGCGGACGGCUGAGUAACGCGUAGGAACGUACCCCAAAGUGAGGGAUAACUGCUCGAAAGAGUAGCUAAUACCGCAUGUGGUCUAAGGAUUAAAGCUUCGGCGCUUUGGGAACGGCCUGCGUAAGAUUAGCUUGUUGGUGAGGUAACGGCUCACCAAGGCGACGAUCUUUAGCUGGUCUGAGAGGAUGAUCAGCCAGACUGGGACUGAGAACGGCCCAGACUCCUACGGGAGGCAGCAGUAGGGAAUUUUCCACAAUGGGCGAAAGCCUGAUGGAGCAACGCCGCGUGCAGGAUGAAUGCCUUCGGGUUGUAAACUAGCUUUAUAUGUGACGAUUAUGACGGUAGCAUAUGAAUAAGGAUCGGCUAAUUCCGUG